GGUGGAGUCUGCCUACGCAGUCCAGACUGGAGAGAAAGAAAGCUCGAUGAUAAACUUUGUGACUCCAAUCUUCAUUCAGGAACCUCCAGGGCAAGAUAAAGAAUGAGGAGAGAUGGUGUCUUUUUCUUGUUCUAGGCUUCCUGAGAGUGCAGCUCAUCUUCGCCAGGGUCCUGGUUGGGAGAUACAGUCAUACUGGGCAGGGAACUGGCCUCUACAGGGUCACUGGCUCCGGGAGCUCCAGGUGACUUCUACAGAAAGAAGGGAGCCUUAGAAAGGCUGAAGCACACCAGCAGGCACACAGUGAGACUGCUGGGGGGAAUGGCACUGCAGAAACAGCUGGAACGCAUGGAAAAGCUAUGAAGUUCGAAGAUGUCGUGUAACUCUGGAACUCCACAUGAGGGGAAACAGACUAGAUGCAGCCCUGUGUGUGGGGACGUGGGCUGGAGCCAGGUGUCCAGAGCUUUUCCUGAACCUGCUCCAGCGUGCUGCAGCCUGUGG
rnacentral:lncRNA from 1 species